AACCCAUUAUGAGGGCAUCUUCUCAAUAAAUCCUUAAAUCUCUCCCAUACAUCAUAUAAUGUCUCUAAAUUGAUCUGAGCAAAGGAAGAAAUGUCAUUCCUCAAAUU
rfam:Gossypium raimondii chromosome 3, whole genome shotgun sequence.